GAUGAACGCUAGCGGCAGGCCUAAUACAUGCAAGCCGGACGGCAAGUUGAGUAGCAAUACUUGACCUAGAGUGGCGUAAGGGUGCGUAACACGUAUGCAAUCUGCCCACAGCCGGGAGAUAGCCCUCCGAAAGGAGGAUUAAUAUCCCAUAGGAAGAUGAGAUGGCAUCAUUUUAUUUUUAAACUACGGGGCUGUGGAUGAGCAUGCGGUUGAUUAGCUAGUUGGCGGGUAAAGGCCCACCAAGGCGAUGAUCAAUAGGGGGUCUGAGAGGAUGAUCCCCCACACUGGUACUGAGAUACGGACCAGACUCCUACGGGAGGCAGCAGUAGGGAAUAUUGGUCAAUGGGCGCAAGCCUGAACCAGCCAUGCCGCGUGCAGGAAGAAGGCCCUCUGGGUUGUAAACUGCUUUUGAUAGGGAACAAUGCCACUUGCGAGUGGAGCUGAGUGUACCUAUAGAAUAAGCACCGGCUAACUCCGU
rnacentral:rRNA from 1 species